rnacentral:misc_RNA from 1 species
GCUCUCCUUCGUGCAAGUGCCUUUCUGGAUCAUACUUGAGUGGAUCAGGCCAUGUCUUUGGGUUCCUGCCAAGCCCAUACCGGCUAAGUGUUGCCCAGCUACCCUUUGGAAUAAAGUAANACCGAUAACAGAGUCUUCCAUAGCUACAUGAGGGACAUUGAAGUGUGCAACUGGAUGGAGCCUAAAGGCUUCUCUUGCACAAGCCUUGACAUAAUUAAGGUUGGGGAUGUCAGAUUCUUGAACAAGCCUGUCUUUGCCAACCACCCUGUCAAGUUCCUCUGUGGCCUUCUUCAGGAUUUCUGGUUGAUUUA